rnacentral:lncRNA from 1 species
CAGCUGCUGAGACGUGUUGCAGCCAGAGUCUCUCCGCUUUAAUGCGCUCCCAUUAGUGCCGUCCCCCACUGGAAAACCGUGGCUUCUGUAUUAUUUGCCAUCUUUGUUGUGUAGGAGCAGGGAGGGCUUCCUCCCGGGGUCCUAGGCGGCGGUGCAGUCCGUCGUAGAAGAAUUAGAGUAGAAGUUGUCGGGGUCCGCUCUUAGGACGCAGCCGCCUCAUGGGGGUCCAGGGGCUCUGGAAGCUGCUGGAGUGCUCCGGGCGGCAGACUAUACUUGUAGCAAGCAGAAACAUCGAUCUAAUACAAGACAGAUGCACAUCAACACCAAGUUCUACCUCUGAGAUAUAUUAGCAUUUGGUUAAACCAAGCACUUAAAGGAGUCCGGGAUCGCCAUGGGAACUCAAUAGAAAAUCCUCAUCUUCUCACUUUGUUUCAUCGGCUCUGCAAACUCUUAUUUUUUCGAAUUCGUCCUAUUUUUGUGUUUGAUGGGGAUGCUCCACUAUUGAAGAAACAGACUUUGGUGAAGAGAAGGCAGAGAAAGGACUUAGCGUCCAGUGACUCCAGGAAAACGACAGAGAAGCUUCUGAAAACAUUUUUGAAAAGACAAGCCAUCAAAACUGCCUUCAGAAGCAAAAG